GGCAGAGACACACAUUGUUUCAGACUCCCUCUGGAAACAUGAACAAGCAGACUCAUGGAUUAUCACUGCUACUGCUACUGCCACUGCUACUGCCCCUGUGCUGGGGGGGAGAAGAGAAUUCUACAGAAGAAACCAGCACCGUGUACGAAUAUGACUAUGACAGUGAUGUCAGCUAUGACCUGUUUGCUGUACUUAACACGGCACCUGGGAUCCCUCCAGCCUGCUCCGUGCUCCUGAUCUGCCUGGCCCUCUCCUACCUGUUUUAGUCUGGGAACAGGACUCUCGCGCUGUGCACAGGAACAGUUCAGAAGGACCCCGUUACGUUCUGUGCAAGAUACCCAGAAAUAGCGGGGGACCAACACGAAGAAUAUUCAUCAGCACUGCUCACCCAUACUAUGCACUGAAGACACCUGAAGACACACCCGAAGAAAAAGCCUCACCAGCUGGAAUACCUUUUUUUAAAAAACAAACACCCCUCUCAAGCAGGAAGUAUUUCAGUUUAAGCCAUAUUAUCAGCAAGAUCAUCACCUCUGCUUUAAUUAUGUUACGUUCAGAAGUUACUAUAUUCAGCUGUACUUGUUAAUAUAUAGUAUUGCUCAGUUCUUGCUUAGCCUUAGAUAACCUGGUAGAGUUACACAACAUCUGUCCACUGGCUACCCUGACUUACGAAUGUUACAUCUCCUUGUGUUAAUGAUGCCGAGCCAGCAGGGCCCCAAGCAGAUGUCAGCUCACCUCUUCAGCUUGCAACAUUAUUCUAAUAACACUUAUUUCCAUACUGAGCACAAUAAAACAGGACUUGCAUGCAAGGAUUAUUAGAUUAUAACUGGAUUGGGUUUAUUAAGGAAGAAAGAAAAGGAUCCGAAAUGGGAGAAUUUACUAGAUGCGUCUGGUCAUGUUGUUCCCAUGAUGCACUACAAAAUUGAUUUGUUUUUGUCAUCUUCGCUGAGAAAAUCUCUCUCCCGGGUUGUUUCGCAGAAAGCACAGGCUAAUCGACAUAGGGUGUCGUGACCAUUCUGAAGUUUCUGAAGUGCCUGUCUCACCCUCUUCCAGCAAAAGAUCAUCUAAAUAAUUUGCUAAUGAUUUUGUGCAGGUCUAGCUGUGACAUCGGAGGGAAAGAAAAGGUUUAAAAUAAAGUGUUUUAAUUAGAAAUAAAACCCGGAUCACCAAUCUGAUCUCAUUCACAAAUCUCUGUGAGAUUUGUCAAUUAAAACUUUAAUUUUUUAAGGAAACCAGCACAAUAAUUAUACUCCAGUGCCACCUUAAACCUACCCCCCAGAGAAGUUGAAAUGAUGGGCAUACAAUUUCCGAAUACAACACAGCCAAUCCUUAGACCUAACUAUUUUUGGUUUGCUAUAGAAUUUGGAUGUAUCGGAAAUUAAAGCAUCCUGUAUGUAAUAAAACAGUUUUAACAAUGUAAGAUGAUAAAAUCAAUAUGCAAUUCAAAGUUGCUUAUCACCAUAUAACAAAUUUAAAAAAAUUGGUUUGUGUCAUUAUGGUCUGAUAAUCAAUAAGCAUUUUUAUCGAGUGUAAUGCAAUUGUAUUUAAAUUGAUUCAAUAACCAUUUAAACAUAGCGAAUGCUGUGCAGUCAUUUACAAUUUGUAAUAUAUUUUAUAUUACAGCACCACAGUAUUGACUCUUUUUUUAAAUACAAAAACAUUUGAACUAA